GACCAAUUACGAUCGAUUCGCUA
rnacentral:sRNA from 1 species